rnacentral:rRNA from 1 species
AUUGAACGCUGGCGGCAGGCCUAACACAUGCAAGUCGAACGAGUGGCGGACGGGUGAGUAAUGUCUGGGAAACUGCCCGAUGGAGGGGGAUAACUACUGGAAACGGUAGCUAAUACCGCAUACCAUCGGAUGUGCCCAGAUGGGAUUAGCUUGUAGGUGAGGUAACGGCUCACCUAGGCGACGAUCCCUAGCUGGUCUGAGAGGAUGACCAGCAACACGGGAACUGAGACAGGGUCCAGACUCCUACGGGAGGCAGCAGGGGGGAAUAGUGCACAAGGGGAGCAAGCCUGAUGCAGCCAUGCCGCGUGUAUGAAGAAGGCCUGCGGGUUGUAAAGUACUUUCAGCGGGGAGGCGUUACCCGCAGAAGAAGCACCGGCUAACUCCGUGCCAGCAGCCGCGGUAAUAC